rfam:Clostridium grantii DSM 8605 genome assembly, contig: EJ34DRAFT_scaffold00016.16
GCAGGUGUGGCGGAAUUGGCAGACGCGCUAGACUUAGGAUCUAGUAUCUUUGAUGUGGGGGUUCGACUCCCUUCACCUGCA